CACCACCGCUCCUGCUAACAGCUGUAGUUGAGCUGUUUUACUUCUUCCCUUUUAUCAUCUGCAAGACAGGAACAUCAUCCUAUUUCUUCCCAGUUAAAUGGGAACAAUUUUUGCUAAUGGCAGCCAAACCCCCAAGAGGUGCUGAAACACCCACUUCAAUUUCUCUUCUGGGGCAUGCCUAAAAGAGAACAGGAAGCAGAGACUGUACUAAAGCACCUCUUGGAGUCUCGGGCCUAUAGGGCAAGUUUCUGUUCUAACAUCCCAAUCCUUUCUCUGAGCUGUGGAAAGUUCAUCCUCUUUCCAGUCCUUUCUUCUAAUCAUCCGUCGGGAGAAGCUACACAUGUGCAUUCAAUGUGAAAGAGUCUGUGUGCAGAGAAACCCAUCAGUGUUGCAUGUCCCCUUCCCUGUUUGCUUUCUGCAGGCACAGCCUUCUUUUCUUCUGGGACCUUUUUCCUUGUGGGAGUAGCCCUGCCCUUUGUAGAGUGCUGCAUACUUUUACAAUGAUCAGCUCACAAUACUGUGAUAAGACCAGCAAAGCAAUUCACAGGAAGAAGAUAAAACCACUUCAGCGAGCUCUAAUAAGCUUCUAGACUUAAGGAGAAUUAAUUGUGGAAUCAGGAGCAGAUGAACCCUGGAACGAGAACCCAGGAAGACAAGCUGUGUUUCCAGAGGACAUCUCAAGUACAACUAAGAGGGGAAGUACAUGGCUGAAAUGUCUCACUGACUCUGCCAUGGUUGCUGAAAAACGUGGAGAGCCCUGGACCCAACCUCCAGGCAGCAGGUUCACCUUACUGCCUGAACAAACCUUUGCAAGUGGGACUGCUCUAAGAGCAGAAAAAACAGAAAAAGGAGAAAAACUGUUGUGACCAAAAAGCUCCUAGCAUUCAGAGAGGCCCCUCACCAGUGGGGCCUGCAUCAUCGAGUAGAGGAAGCCUUUAGGCUUUCAGGAGAGUUAACUGCUUCCCUUGGCCUCCAACCCAGAUCUACACUGACAAAAUUUAUUGAUUUCCUACACUUCACCCUGUAUUAAUUGCCUGUAUCUGCUUGUGAGAGUCAGUUUGCUUGUUACCAUGUUUUCACUUGCAAUAGAGUUUCUG
rnacentral:lncRNA from 1 species